UCACUUCCCAUGGCAGCCUUUCCCAUGUGCAAGCAUUAGUUUAAGUAAUUACAGAGUCCAGGCCUGACGUAUCUGAUUCCAUUCUGACUUGAAGGAGGAGCAAAGAUGACAAGAAAGAAAAUGAGGCAUAACAGAGGGUGACCUCGUGGAACAGAGGAUUCUGAGUGCACAAAUAACACCACGUGGCUGAAGGAGGGCUGACAGGCACAUCCCCUGCACCAGAAGUUCUGCAGAAUUAUUCAGCUGCGAUUUCAGAAUAUCUUAUUUACUGUAAGGAGCAAAUGGUGAAAGAAAUAACGUACUGACGUGGUCUCCAACAGACAGAAGAAACAUCGUGGUCUUCAGAAGAUAUCACCAUGCAGACAUAAUGCUCAUUAUCUGUGCAGGAGGUCGCCUUUGCAUGCUGGAGGAAAACCCUGGAGAUGGGGAAGAUACCUACAGUCCUUCUGUGACUUGGGACAUAAUAAAGUAAACAUGAGUCA